UAAAUACUCGAAAUUGCAAAAUUAAUAAACCAAAAGAUACUGAAUUCUCAUUGGUUAGGUCAUAGAUACAUGGAUUGGGCUUUUAUCUUAUCAUGCACCGUUGAUUAGAUUACAUCUAACGGACACAAUUGUUUCCCCUUUUUUUUUUUUCUUUUUUUUCACAUCUUCUCCUCUAGGCUUCGUCACCUCUUCACCUCUUCAACCCAUCCAGCUUUUAACACACAAUAUACUACAACACAUAAUACGAUGAUGGAGAUUGAAGAAGAUAAUAAAAAAAUCGAAAGAAGGACUUAAUGAAGCCGGCCGCAGACGAAGAUUUGAGCACCACAACAAACAAGACAGGACAAGAUCUAGAUCUGUUGCCCGACGAAACCCUCGAUCUCUGAAACCGAACUCCCCUCCUAGCCACCACUAUAGUUGAAUACAGAAAAAGAGAUCCGACGAUGGGAAAGGAGUGCUAGAGGAGACGGUGGCCAACAUGCAUGUGCCGAGAGUGGAGUGCUGGUUCUUUCCCGUUUGAAAAUCUGGUUGUUUUGAGAGGAUGUUUGCUUCUGAGGUGAAUAGAUGACGAAACAGCAGGCUAUGGAGGUGAAGAGGUGAGGAGGCCGACAUAGAAGCAGCAUACAACGGAGGUGAAGAGGUGAGGAGGCGGACAUAGUAGCAGCAUACAACGGUGGCUCGUCGGCAAACAAAGCGUCGUGAUUGUGAUUUUUUUUUUUUUUUUGUCGAUUCUAGCAUCCGGUUCAACCGGU
rnacentral:lncRNA from 1 species